rnacentral:rRNA from 1 species
AACGAACGCUGGCGGCAUGCCUAACACAUGCAAGUCGAACGAGACCUUCGGGUCUAUUGGCGCACGGGUGCGUAACGCGUGGGAACCUGCCCUUAGGUUCGGAAUAACUCCCCGAAAGGGGUGCUAAUACCGGAUAAUGUCUUCGGACCAAAGAUUUAUCGCCUUUGGAUGGGCCCGCGUUGGAUUAGCUAGUUGGUAGGGUAAAAGCCUACCAAGGCGACGAUCCAUAGCUGGUCUGAGAGGAUGAUCAGCCACACUGGGACUGAGACACGGCCCAGACUCCUACGGGAGGCAGCAGUGGGGAAUAUUGGACAAUGGGCGAAAGCCUGACCCAGCAAUGCCGCGUGAGUGAUGAAGGCCUUAGGGUUGUAAAGCUCUUUUACCCGGGAUGAUAAUGACAGUACCGGGAGAAUAAGCUCCGGCUAACUCCGUG